AUACAGAGGGUGCGAGCGUUAAUCGGAAUUACUGGGCGUAAAGCGCGCGUAGGCGGUCUAUUAAGUCAGAUGUGAAAUCCCAGGGCUCAACCUUGGAACUGCAUCUGAUACUGGUAGACUAGAGUUUUGGAGAGGGAAGUAGAAUUUCAGGUGUAGCGGUGAAAUGCAUAGAGAUCUGAAGGAAUACCAGUGGCGAAGGCGACUUCCUGGCCAAAAACUGACGCUGAGGUGCGAAAGCGUGGGUAGCAAACGGGAUUAGAUACCCCAGUAGUCC
rnacentral:rRNA from 1 species